UCCUUAAUCAUGAGAGAAAUGUAAAU
rnacentral:piRNA from 1 species